GACAGAGGGGGCAAGCGUUGCUCGGAAUUACUGGGCGUAAAGGGCGCGUAGGCGGGAUGGCAAGUCGGUCGUGAAAUCCCUCGGCUCAACCGAGGAACGUCGAUCGAUACUGCUGUUCUUGAGGAUUGCAGAGGAGACUGGAAUUCCCGGUGUAGCGGUGAAAUGUGUAGAGAUCCGGAAGAACACCGGUGGCGAAGGCGGCCUGCUGGGCAGUGGCUGACGCUGAGGCGCGACAGCGUGGGGAGCAAACAGG
rnacentral:rRNA from 1 species